ensembl:lncRNA
GAAGGAGAGAAGACUCUUCAGACAACCACAGCUGGAUGUUCAUGUUCUCUGGAGCUCUCAGUCCAUCAGACUAGAUGUUCCCAAUGAUCCAGACCAAGACUGGAAGGAAAAGACACUAACAAGUGAAAGUAGCAGUUCCUCCUGAAGGUCAGAGAUUGCAGCAUCUGAGGGCCUUUUCAAAAGAAGAUGUAGUUGAUGAAGGCGUUCUGGAGCAGGACCAGAAAGACCACGACCAAGCAGCCUUGAGAUCUUAGGCAGCGUCUCCCUCAGACCAAAGAACUUCAGACUCUUCACAACCUGCUCAAACUCUUGGUACAGGACCUCACCACACGGGUCAAGAAGGUUUCUGUCUCAUUUCUACUCUGAAGCUCACCUUCUCCUGCUCAAACUGCUGACAAAUGUUUCUGCUGCUCUAAAGUCUGGUCUCCAGAACUUCCUAAACACUCUCAAAGUCUCUUCUGCUGCAGGUUGCUUUGUAGAACUGUUCCAGAAAACCUCACUAAACCACAUGGAGGAGCCUCAAGAUAGUCGUCCAAAUGAAACCAUACAAAAACCAAACUAGCACAACCCAAACGCUAAAGUCUCCUGCAGCCUACCAGAGAACCUCUGAGAACAGAGAAUCAGGACAGGAACUCUUACCUUCUGGACAACCAACGCUGGUUCACAAACAAGAAUACAGAAUGUGUCUGACCAAAAACCUCUGAAGACUCACUACAGCCAAGAUAAAGACACAACUCACCUGCACCAAAUCCACUAAUCACUGCACACAUUAGCACCAU